rnacentral:lncRNA from 1 species
CGUGCGCGAGCCCGACGCCGGCGCAAGCGCGCGCGCUCCUCGCGGACGCCUCCAACCGCGCCCGGACGCCCGCAGCUGAGCGCGCCGGCGGAACACUCAGAGCGCACGCGCAGGGGGCGGGUCUUGUAACCGCCGUCGCGGCGGCCGCACGAGGACGUGGUCCCGCCCCAACUGCUGUUCAGCGGCGCGGGGCGGCGAGACCGAGGUGGUGAUUCUAUUUCUGAGCUGAGGCCACUUUGACAUCCAUCCCUCAGGGCAUGCUUCUUGAUGGCUUUCUGACCUCAUUCAGCAUGGAGGUAGAUUCCAGGUUUGCCCGGCUAUGGACACCUCCAACACAUCCCUCAAUUGCUCUUGGGCAAAUCGCAGGGCACGUGAACAUUCCAUUGGCGGAGGAAGGACCAGCUGGCUUCAACACGGCCACCAUAACACACCAGGACCGUCACCCGGGAGCAGGGGGACGGACGACCAGCAAAGUCAUCCUGAAUCAAUAACUGGCGUAGCGUGUCAGGAGGUGACCAUAGAAUCAGAAGGGGAACGGACCUCAUCACACUCACAAGGACGAUCGUCGUCCAAAGUGGAAAAUAACAAGUGUUGUCAAGGAUGUGGAGAGACUGGAAGCCUCGUGCACCGCCGGUGGGAAUGCAAAACGGGGCAGUGGCCGUGGAAAGAAGUUUGGCGGGUCCUCAAAAAGUUAAACAUAGAAUUAUUUUAUGAGCCAGAAACUCUGCUUCUGGGUGUGUACCCAGAAUAAUUGAAUGUCGGGUCUCAAAGAGAUUCUUGUACAUGUAUGUUCACAGCAGCAUCGCCCAAAGGUAGAAACACCCCAAGUGUCCAGAAACAGAGGCGUGGAUAAACACUGUGGUCCAUGCACACGGAGGAAUGUUUCUCAGCCAUAAAGAGCACUGAAGCUCUGAUACAUGUCAUAUCAUGGAUGAACCUCGAAAACAUCGUGCCGAGGGAAAAAAGCCAGAUACAAAAGGGCACAUCGUGUGUGAUUCCAUGUGUAUGGAAUGUCCAGAACAGACAAACCCAUGGACACAGAGAGCAGGUUAGUGGGUGCCAGGGGCUGGGGGAGGGGGAGCUGGAUGACAGCUAAUUGGGAUGGGGCAUUUGUGUGGGACCAAUAACAAUUAUCCGAGGGGUAUCUGGGUGGCUGCUCAGUCAGUUGACUGGCCAAAUCUUGAUUUUGGCUCAGGUCAUGAUCUCAGGGUCAUGAGAUCCAGUCCUGAGCCAGGCUCCAUACUGUAAGAGUCUGCUUGAGAUUUUCUCUCUCUCUCUCCCUGUGCCCCUCCCCCUGCUUGGGUGCUCUCUCUCUCUCUCUCUCUAAAAUAAAUAAAUAAAUCUUUUAAAAAAUCA